GGAAAAGGCUAGUAGUUGUCUGUGUGUGUCGGGGGGUCGGGGGGUGCGAGCGUAUCCUAAAUGUGUUUUAAUGUCACUGGAGCUUAACAUGAGAUUGGAUUGGAUGUUAGCUUUGUUAUUCCAUACAAGGCGAUUUUAACUUUAUUCUGGUUGCUAUUGAAUGAAGGGUUUAAGCAGAGGAGUAGCCUGGUCAGUUUUUCAUAAUAGAUCACUCUGGUAGCUGUGGCUGGGUGUAUCUGAGGAAAACAGCCCUGGAGGCAAGGAUGCCUCUGCCCUUAGCCCAGGAUGGCAGCGAGGAGAAUCUGAACCAUGGCAAGAGCAACAGGGGUGCAACUGGAAGGACCUGGUGGCCGACUGAUCCGGAAAGAAAGCCCGAGAGUGCUACACAGGUUUUCAUUUUGUAGGACCAAGUGGACAGUGGUGUCAGCACUGGAGUUAGAAAGUACAGAGGAAGAAGAGCAUCUGUCAGAGUAGGGUGAUUCGCCUGUCAGAUGCCUGAAGGAUAUCCAGGUGAUAGUGCCAGAGGCAACGGAAUAUAUGAAUCUCAACACUGGAGCUAGAAACGAGUAUGCGUAAAAGUUGAAACCACAGAGUGUAUGAAAUCAAUUACAGAGAAAAGAGAGGAACUGGGGGAGGCGGGUCAAGGACAAAACCAGGGACAUCUUAAUGCUUCAAGGGCAAGCAAAAAAGAGGACUUCAGGAGGCAAGUAGGAAUGAGUGAUCAUGGUAGGUGUGUCCAGAGUGCGGACUGGGUUACGGAGUCCUAGGCUAACAGAAGAUUUGGAGGGGAGGAGUCAUCACCAAAGGUUUGGAUCCAGGCUGCUCUGGUUCCCACCACCUUCACUGAGUCUAAGUUGGAGGCACUGAGACUGAAACCCAGACUUCCCAGAAGGGGGCGCUGCUUGGCGGGUGCUGUCACGACCACCCCGGUUUUAUGAGUGUUAGAAAAACUGCUGCUGUGGGGAAACGAGCAUUGCUAGAGCGAUGCUGAUGGGAGCAGCAAACAGUAGUAAGAAGUCUCUUCCUAAUCCUGCCUCACAGUCGUCCAAGUCCCUCGUUUAGGAAGUGUAAGUCUCUGAGCAUCUCAGUCAACA
ensembl:lncRNA